ensembl:snRNA U1 U1 spliceosomal RNA
AUACUUAUUUGGCAGGGGAGAUACCAUGAUCACGAAAGUGGUUUUCCCAGGUAGAGGUUUAUCCGUUGCACUCUGGAUGUGCUGACCCCUGCGAUUUCUCCAAAUUCAGGAAACUCGACUGCAUAAUUUGUAGGUGUGGGGGACUGUGUUCACGCUGUCCCACC